rnacentral:rRNA from 1 species
AGGAGGGUUUGAUCCUGGCUCAGGGCGAACGCUGGCGGCAUGCUUAACACAUGCAAGUCGCGCGGCCGGCAACGGCAGCGGCGGACGGGUGAGUAACGCGUAGGAAUGUAUCCUGAGGUGGGGGACAACCCUGGGAAACUGGGGCUAAUACCGCAUAUGGACUGAGGUCCAAAGCCGUGAGGCGCCUUGGGAGCAGCCUGCGUCCGAUUAGGUAGUUGGUGGGGUAAAGGCCUACCAAGCCUGCGAUCGGUAGCUGGUCUGAGAGGACGAUCAGCCACACUGGGACUGAGACACGGCCCAGGACUCCUACGGGAGGCAGCAGUGGGGAAUAUUGGACAAUGGGCGCAAGCCUGAUCCACCAAUGCCGCGUGGGUGAAAGAAGGUCUUCCGGAUUGUAAAGCCCUUUCGGGCGGGGAACGAUGAUGACGGUACCCGCAAAAGAAGCCCCGGCUAACUUCGUGCCAGCAGCCGCGGUAAUACAAGGGGGGUUAGCGUUGCCCGGAAUUACUGGGGCUUAAAGGGCCCGUUAGGCGGCCAAAUUUAUUCAGGGGU